rnacentral:rRNA from 1 species
GACGAACGCUGGCGGCGUGCUUAACACAUGCAAGUCGAACGGAAAGGCCCUGCUUUUGUGGGGGGCUCUAGUGGCGAACGGGUGAGUAACACGUGAGUAACCUGCCCUUGACUUUGGUAUAACUUCACGAAACUGGGGCGAAUAUCGGAUAGGAGCUCCUGCUGCUUGGGGGGGGUUGGACAGUUACGGUGGUUGGUGCUGGACUCGCGGCUUAUCAGCUUUUUGGUGGGGUAGUGGCUUACCAAGGCUUUGACGGGUGGCCGGCCUGAGAGGGCGACCGGCAACACUGGGACUGAGACAGGGCGCAGACUCGGACGGGAGGGAGCAGUGGGGAAUAUUGUGCAGUAGGCGGGAGCCGUGUGCAGCAGCGCCGCGUGCGGGAUGACGCCCUUCGGGUUGUAAACCGCUUUCGCCUGUGACGAGGCGUGGGUGACGGUAAUGGGUAAAGAAGCACCGGCUAACUACGUG